GCCUUGCUCUAUUGCUCGUUGGCACUGAGGGAAGCUCUCUGGGGAGAGGAGCCCACCAAUGCUUGGCUGACAAGACCUCAGUCAUGUCUGAUGUGGCUUCACCUUUGCUGCCGUCUUCGUAUCACUAGGGGAGCCCUGUGGAGUGGGGUGGAGUUCAAGAUGGAUUCUCAAGAAGUUAUAGGAAGCUCUUUAUCAAUUCAAUUCCUGAGAAGGGCCCACUUCAGGGAUGUUACAGUGCAGACAAAGAUUCUGGUGCCUCACAAGAUUUGACACAAGCCAGCGCUUUGUUGUUUUUCUCACCUGUUGGCCAGAAGAUUAUCUUGGAGCAGGAAAAGCCAAGUGGAAGAAGCCAAGUGAAGGGCUAUGGGGACCUAGAAGAUGGAGUCGUCACACAGUGGAAGAAUUGCAGAUCUCUGAGUCACCAUUUGGACAAGAACCUACUAGAACAGGUGCCUGAACAAGAACACUGGACUUUGUGUGAGUGAGAAACAAACUUUUAUUGUGUUAAGCCACCGAGAUUUUGGGUUGGUUUUUAUAGUAGCUGGUGUUGCUUACACUGACUAAUACAUCUUGAAAGUAAAUGAUGCAAAACAAUUCUACUUAUUCACAGGGGGUGGUAUUUAUAAGGGAAAAGAAUAACAGGGUGGUGUCAGUGAUGGGUCCUGAUAAGUAAGCAACAACAAGGAAGGGGCCCCAGGUAGGGAAGAACAAUUGUUCUGAGAGACUGUUAAUCACAAACAACCUGCUAGCCCCACAUCCUGUUCUCAAAUACUUUGCUCAGCAUGUAGCCCCAGCAGCAUGACUUUGUCUGCAUGUAGACCCUCCAGCAUGACCCUAUAAAAUUUCCCUCCAGCCACUGCCUCUUGGCAGACAGUCCCUUCUCUGCUGUGCUGCCCACUGCUUUCUUACAACGUUAUCUUUGUACUUUCUCUAAUAAAUCUGCCUUUCUUUACCCACAA